GGGGCGUUCGUAUAACGGCUAGUACUUAAGAUUUUCAUUCUUACAAUAGGGGUUCGAUUCCCCUACGCCCUA
rnacentral:tRNA from 1 species